GAGAUGGUGAACAAAUGAAUCAUGGAAGGUGUGACUGUGUUUAGCUUACGAUGAUUGCGUGAGAGAGACGGCUGGCGAUGCUUGAGGAGGACUUUCAUGCCACUCGGUGGGCAAAUGUCACAGUGCAGUGUAGAACGGAGAGUGGUUCAGAGUGUGCGGAGAACGUCUUUCCUGGGAGACCUUUUUUUCAGAGAGAGCGGUUCUUGUGUGGAUUUAAUCAGUGGAAUUCCUGACUAGAAGAUUCAAAAGAUUAGGCCCACCACGAGUGUGGGGUAAUGUGAAGUGAUUUGGAAAGAAAAUUGUGAUGGAAGGCAGUGAGACGAUGGGCAUCAAGAGAGGCUGCCGCCUCUGCUUGGCUCCGGACAAUGAGUGUGUGUCCAUAUUUGCGACAGCAGCUGCCGAUCGGGAGGCAUUGGCGAUGAAAAUUCAGGCUUGUGUUAAUAUAAAGGUUCAUCAAUCCGACAGUCUCUCCUCGCGCAUCUGUCACGCGUGCAUCAGCUACUUGAACUCAUGGCAGAGCUUCAAGAAUCGCUGCUACGCCGCCCAGAGACAGCAGAAGACCUGGCUGGUCAUACAGCUUCAGCGUCAACUCAGCAAUUCCCACAAUCAGGAUGUCGCCGAUGCCAAGAAACGACGCUUCUCGCCUAGCGAAGUCGAUGACCAGCAGGUGGCGGGUAAGAGAACCCGUGAAACAUCACCAGAUGAGGAUUUCUAUCCCGAGAAGCAGCCGAAGAGCAGCUCGGUCAGCACUUCUCAGCGACCCAGUGUGGCAGAGAGUGAAAAAAUUUAUUUUUCUGGACAGACUUUCAUCAAACAGGAGCCCAAGGACGAAGAGGAGCAAGAGGGCCCAGUUACCGUCAACAUGGAGCUCGAUCCGAGUCAAUUUCUCGCUGACAAUGAUUUGGAGGAGGAGUAUCAGAAUGACACUGCGCACAAUGACGAGGGACCGCCGAUACUCACGUCUCUCGGUCUAACUCAUAUUAACCAUGUCAAUCCUUAUAAUUACUUGGCAACGGAUCUCGAGGAAUAUGACCAGGAUAUGGAAGAUGGGGAUUCAUCACUCAAUUUUAGUGGUGGUCUUCCUGGACAGAUGAGGCGUAAGCCACAGCCAUCAAUUCCGGCCAGAUGUCAAAUUUGCCAAAUGAAAUUCUCCAAUCGUGCCAAUGCUCGUCGUCAUGAGCGAAAUAUCCAUGGGAUAAAGAUUUCGGCGGAAAAUGGGGAUAUUACAGUGAUGCCCAAGCCACCACCAUUGACCAUGAUGCCAAAGCGUCCGGGUGAUCAGCAGCAGGUGGGAAAUGGUGGACAUGUGAGUGGAUCAGCAUCAAUUGCAAGUGGCGAUGACAUAAAGCCUACUAUGCCGAUUCUCAAGAAACCAUCCAAACCGCCACCUGAGGUCUUUGACUACACAAAACCAGAAAAAUAUCGACAUCUCCUCACGGAGAACAAACUUUCUUUUAUACGGCGCAAUCUGAAGUUCCUGGGACAGUAUCAGGAUAUGAAGUGCAAGUGCUGUGACAAAGAAUAUUCCACCUAUAAAACCUUCAUGUCGCACAUGCGAAAGAGAUUUCUAUCAUUGCCCAGGAAUAUGUGUUUCAAGUGUCUGAAGCAAUUUGAGACAAAGGGACAAUUUAUUGCGCAUCUAAAGAAGAAGAACUGCCUGAAUUUGUACACUCUCUAUAUGGCUGAUACGACAAUCUCCAAGGUAUUCCAUACAUCAUCGCCAUCAGGACGAAUUGGUCCCAAGGAGAUUCUGGCCAAUAAGGCAUAUGGAUGUAAACUCUGUACUGAACAUUUCCGCUUGAAGAAUGAUUUCAGGAUUCAUGUCAAUGAGUCUCAUCCGGAUGUUCAGAACUUCAGGGAUCCUACCACGGGUAAUUGUACCUACUGCAAGGCUACAUUUGAGGAGAGUAGUCAGAGAAAGCGUCACUAUGGGAAUAUGGAGUGUAUUGUGUUUCUCAUUUGUGGCAACUGUGAGGAACGUUUUGAUUCCAAUCCACAGUUCCUGGAUCACGUCUAUGCCACUCAUCUGACAAAAUUGGGCCGAGAAUCUAUUCAGAAGCAGGCUACCAGUCAGUUGUUGGCCAGUCAGAAUGGUGAUGAUGAUCUCAGAGAGGAAGAAAGUGGUCAGUCAAAUUGUCGAAGUGUACAAAAUUGUCCGGUGUGUGGGAAGCAAUACAACAAUUACUACAAUGUAUUGCGGCAUAUGGAGUCAAAGCAUCCAGACAAGAUGCCCAAGACCUAUCACUGCGAGAUCUGUCAAACGGGCUUUGCACGCCAAACUGAGCUGAGGGAGCACGUGAAGACAGCCCAUGGAGAGCUGAGUUUGACCAAGGUGAAACCCAUCAGCUUCAUCUGUAGAGAGUGCAAGGAGCAGUUUGAGAAGAAGGAGGCUUGGAUUGAGCAUCAGGUGUCUCAUGGGAAUUUCAUGUGUCAGCAAUGCGAUUUCACUGUGAAGGCACGUGAUGAGUUUGAAACUCAUUUAGCCAUCCAUACCAAACUCAAAGUCUACUCAUGUAGCAUCUGCAAGGCUUCUUUCAACACUGAAGAAGGUCUCCAGUAUCAUACAAUGACUACUCAUCUUGUUUUGGACAGCGAUGAGGCAUUAUUUAAGCAGAUCACCAAGGUGGAAAAUGAGGUGAAGAAGGAACCUAAGGAUCCACAAUCUGUCGUGGAUGCACUCAAUUUGCAUUUGGAUGGUGUUGAGAUUAUUGCGAAGCCACGUGAAAGUACUUCCAAGACACCAGGAACAUCUCAAACUGCCCAGACUACACCACAGAAGGCUGAUGUCACAGUUGACCUAACAAGUGAGCCAGGGACAUCACAAAAGCCACUCCAGUACAAUUCGAGGAUGCGGUGUCGUGUGUGUCAGAAGAGGAUCAGCAGUAAAGUUGGCUACAGGAAUCAUCUUCUGAUUGAGCAUCAAAUCAAUGAUUGUCAAUUUGUGAGCUGUGACUUGUGUCCGGCGGAAUUUAGCAAUGAGAAAGGCUUGAGAGUCCACAUGUUCAGGACACACAAUAUCUCAGUUAAAGAGGAUGAGACAAUGUCAAAUGAUCAGCAACACUAUGAAUGUAACAUUUGUCAUACGGUGUACAGGAGUGUGGAGCAGCUGAGAGAUCAUGUUAAUACGGUUCAUUUGGUGACAAGUUUGCCCGAAUUUGAGGAAGUUGUUGAGCAACCAAAUGCUGUUUCCAAAGAAGAAGAACAAAAGAGUGAAGGUCUGCCAGAUUAUACGCCCAUCGAAGUGUGGUUCCAGUGUCGCUACUGCGAUGAGAAUUUCAAUUCCAACAAGAAGCUCACCAUUCAUAUGAACACCCACGAAGAGCACGAUUCCACGGAUUACACAUGCCGAGACUGUGGCAAUGUCUACGGUACGAGGAAAUCACUGUGGGUGCAUCGGCAUAAGAAGCAUCCACGACCUCAGAUGCCAUCCCCGUGCGAGGUUUGCAGUAAGGUGUUCUUUGAUAAGACAGAACUUGGGUAUCAUCUCAGGACACACGGGGCGGCCAAGAAGAGUAUUUUGGAUGGGAUAAGUGGUGAUGCUGAGGAGGCUGGCAGUGAUACGGGAAAGUAUUCGUGCCAUGUGUGCGGAAGGAAGUUCCAGGAUAAGUCACCGCUCAGUAAGCACUUGAGGAUUCACGAGAUGGAGAACAGUAUGUUCAGUUCGUCGCUUUUGGUGACGGCACUAAGUGAAAGUUUGGAACAGCAACAGCAGCCGGAACCACAGUCUAAUUGGGGAAGUUCUCUGUUGAACAAUGAUGGGGAAUUCUCUUGUGACAUCUGCCCUAAGACCUUCUCCCUCCUCAGUGCACUCAAGGUCCAUCGUGGUUGGCACUUCCGAUCACCAGAUGGUCGGCAGGUGACUGAUCCGGGAAAUAUUUGGCAACCGGGAACAUUGCCACCGAGUCGUGCCAAACGCUUCAGGCCCCUGCCGUCGAAGCCACCUGUAUGUCCCUAUUGCAGUUCCAAAUUUGCCAGUGCCAACAAUCUCCGGCGGCACAUUGUGGAGGUGCACAAGCGCAAUGAGUCACGCAUGAAUCGCGAGGCGGUGAAUCCGGGGGUGUUUAUUGAGAAGGAGCGCGAAUGCAGUGCAUGCUCCAAGGUCUUUGAGACGCACAUUGAGUGGAUUGAGCAUAAGAUGGGUCAUGCCAAGAAUCAGAAACCAUCGACAACUUUUGAGUGGAACUGUGAGAUAUGUGGGAAGAUGUUUACGCGAAAGGAGAGACUGUUGCAGCAUAUGAUUACGCAUUUGAACAAUACAGGUGAUCGACCGGAGGAUGAUAUUGAAGAAGUGGAGGAUGAUGACGAAGAUGAUCAGGAAAAUAGUUCAGAGUCUCAGAGUCGUGGGGUAAAGGAAGAAGAAACAACGUCAGUUGUGGAAGAGGAAGUUGUGGCUGAAGAAGUUGUUUCUGAAGAAGUCAUGGCUGAGGAGAGGAAUUCAGAGAGUUCGCCAGAGAUGAGUGAAAAUGAGGAGAAGGAGGAGGGUGAGAAGCAUUCAUGUGAUCUGUGUCAGGUGUUCUUUAAGACAUCGACUGAAUUGAGGAGGCAUGUGACAUCACAUUUUAUCAAUGGAGCUGCAACAAUUGGAAAUGAAGAAAUCAAGGGAAACUCUCCGUCGCCGGUACCUGUGGUCAAAGAAAGUCAAUCGGAAGAUGUUGGUGAAGAGAUUAUUAAGAAGUCUGAUCCACAAGACAGUCAAUUACUCGAAGAAGUUGUUGGAACAGAUGAUGAAGAUGAUGAGGAGGAUGAUAUUGAGGAGGAAGACGGGGAUGUGGAAGAACUGGAUGAGGAAGAUGAGGAGGCAGAAGAGAGUGUUGGAGAAGAAGAUGAUGGCAACUAUGAUGAAGAUGAUGAGGAAUUUAUGGAGGAAUAUAUUGAUGCUGAUGAAAUUGAACCCAAAACAAUGGAGAUUUCUGCUGAGGAAAUGGGAGAGCAAUCUCAAAAGAUGGAAAGUCAGGCAAUUGUGUACAAAUGUCGCUUAUGCGCUACUCCACAUCGCAGUCAUUUUGCAUCGAUUAAGUGUAUGGAGGCUCAUAGGAUGCCAACAGAAUGGAAAUGUUCCAAGUGUAAGGUAUUCUUUGCCAAUGCUGAACAAAUGAAGGAUCAUCUGCAGCUGAUGCACUAAUAAGGAAUACAUUCGUGAUUGUCCUGCCGAUUCCACACUGAAUUUUCCAAAGUAAUUGAACACACACACAAAACAAGAAAUGAAACCAUACACUGAAAAGCUACUUAACGUAAUAUUUACGCGCUGAAAAUGUGUAUAUUUAAGCAUCACAUUAGUGGGAUAAAAAUGAUGCGGAAGCAACACUUUAAAUAUUAUUAAUAAAAAGAUAUUUCCACAAAUUUAUUAUUAUUAAUUUAAAAUGUAUGUGUAUGGCUAUUUGAAAGAAAAAAAAAGAAGUAUAAAUAAAAUAAAAUUAUGUACACAUACGAUGGAAAGGGAAUUCUUCCCGGAGUUACCUGCCACAAUUUGAAAUCUAUUGAUAAUAAAGCAAUUAAUUAAGAAAGAUUAUUAAUGGAGGUAUUAAGAAAAUGAAAAAGUGAAAGGAGAGUUAUGAGUAUGAGAAGCACAUAUUAGUUUUGUUCCAUAAACUCUAUAACAAUUUUUGCACUUGAACAAGAUGAAAGAUGUAGAAAAAAAAACAAAAAAAAACAUUAGAUGGUAGGAAGAAAGCAUAAUGUAUUGAUGCUUUUUUGUGUCGUGUAUUUUGUGUUGUACCUUCCUUUUAUUAGGAUUUUAACUAUCUUUUGUAAUAUUUCCUGUGUAUUUUAUUUUGUAUAAAUAGUGAUUAUUAGAAUAUUUAGAAAUGAAUACUUUGCAUAGAUUCAAAAAAAGAAGAAAAAAAGCACCAACGUGGUGAAAACUCUGCAUAGAAACUAAAGAGAAACCUAUUAAAUAUAUAGAAAAUCUGGACGAAAAAGAGGUAAAAAGAAAUACGAGAUAAUCAUGAAACAAAAAAAUAAAAAAAGUAUUUUACUAUAAAAUAAAAUAUUAAAAUUUAUUAAAUGUAAAACGAACUCUUACAAACUAGAUUUGCUUUUUACAAACUACUACAUUAUACAUUAUAAUUACAAUUAAGAAUUUAAUUAUUACUUAGAAUAUUUGUCAUGAAAGAAAGGUAGAAAAUCAGAGAAAACUCUAUAUACUGUCUUUGAGAAAUUAUAGAAACAACAAAAAAAAAUGGAAAAUGAAUAAGGAAAUAUAAUGUUCAAGUACACUUUCCUCAAUACAAAUCAACAUUAUUCUUUUUCUUUAUUUAAAAAUAAUAUUUUUUUAAGGCACCACUUUUUGCAAAGGUAUUUAAAAAAAAAACACACACGAAUCAAAUUAUUAAAAAUUUCUUUUCCAAUUUCUUAAAUUCCGUUGGAAAUCCUUUUUGUUGUCUAUUUUUUUU